ACCUGGCUGGCUUAGUUAGUAGAGCAAUGGACUCUAGAUCUUAGGGUUGUGAGUUCAAGUCCCACACUGGGUG
rnacentral:tRNA from 1 species